rnacentral:rRNA from 1 species
UACAGAGGGUGCGAGCGUUAAUCGGAAUUACUGGGCGUAAAGGGCGCGUAGGCGGUUUAUUAAGUUGGAUGUGAAAUCCCUGGGCUUAACCUAGGAACUGCAUUCGAUACUGAUAGACUGGAGUGCUGUAGAGGGUAGUGGAAUUUCCGGUGUAGCGGUGAAAUGCGUAGAUAUCGGAAGGAACACCAGUGGCGAAGGCGGCUACCUGGACAGACACUGACGCUGAGGAGCGAAAGCGUGGGGAGCGAACAGG